CUCCCUUCAAGCACCGCUUGGUGAUGGGUGUUUGUCCGUGUCAUCUGCGCGGACUCGCCCCAAUAACAUUGGCAGCAGGCCGCCGGUCUCUCGCGCAGCACUUUGCGCUUCUCGAGGCCGUGGCGAGCCGGCGUCCAUCAAGAUCUCCCCCA
rnacentral:misc_RNA from 2 species